GUGGGGAAUUUUGGACAAUGGGCGCAAGCCUGAUCCAGCCAUUCCGCGUGCAGGAUGAAGGCCUUCGGGUUGUAAACUGCUUUUGUACGGAACGAAAAGCCUCUGGUUAAUACCCGGGGGUCAUGACGGUACCGUAAGAAUAAGCACCGGCUAACUACGUGCCAGCAGCCGCGGUAAUACGUAGGGUGCGAGCGUUAAUCGGAAUUACUGGGCGUAAAGCGUGCACAGGCGGUGAUGUAAGACAGUUGUGAAAUCCCCGGGCUCAACCUGGGAACUGCAUCUGUGACUGCAUUGCUGGAGUGCGGCAGAGGGGGAUGGAAUUCCGCGUGUAGCAGUGAAAUGCGUAGAUAUGCGGAGGAACACCGAUGGCGAAGGCAAUCCCCUGGGCCUGCACUGACGCUCAUGCACGAAAGCGUGGGGAGCAAACAGGAUUAGAUACCCCGGUAGUCC
rnacentral:rRNA from 1 species